CGGGUGAGUAAUGUCUGGGAAACUGCCUGAUGGAGGGGGAUAACUACUGGAAACGGUAGCUAAUACCGCAUAACGUCGCAAGACCAAAGAGGGGGGACCUUCGGGCCUCUUGCCAUCAGAUGUGCCCAGAUGGGAUUAGCUAGUAGGUGGGGUAACGGCUCACCUAGGCGACGAUCCCUAGCUGGUCUGAGAGGAUGACCAGCCACACUGGAACUGAGACACGGCCAGACUCCUACGGGAGGCAGCAUG
rnacentral:rRNA from 1 species